rnacentral:rRNA from 1 species
CACGUGAGGGGCGAGCGUUGUUCGGAAUUAUUGGGCGUAAAGGGCGCGUAGGCGGUUUUACAAGUCUGGUGUGAAAUAUCUCAGCUCAACUGAGGGGCCGCGCUGGAAACUGUAAGACUAGAAUCUAGGAGGGGAAGCUGGAAUUCCUGGUGUAGGGGUGAAAUCUGUAGAUAUCAGGAAGAACACCGGUGGCGAAGGCGAGCUUCUGGCCAUAGAUUGACGCUGAGGCGCGAAAGCGUGGGGAGCGAACAGGAUUAGAUACCCUGGUAGUCCACGCUGUAAACGAUGUGCACUAGGUGUUGGGGAAAGGAUCUUCAGUACCGAAGCAAACGCGAUAAGUGCACCGCCUGGGGAGUAUGCCGGCAACGGUGAAACUCAAAGGAAUUGACGGGGGCCCGCACAAGCGGUGGAGCAUGUGGUUUAAUUCGAUGAUACGCGAGGAACCUUACCAGGGCUUGACAUAAUGAUGCCGACAAUAGAGAUAUUGUUUUCCCUUCGGGGACGUUAUUACAGGUGCUGCAUGGUUGUCGUCAGCUCGUGCUGUGAAGUGUUGGGUUAAGUCCCGCAACGAGCGCAACCCCUGCUGUCUGUUGCCAACAGGUAAAGCUGGGAACUCAGGCGGUACUGCCGGUGACAAACCGGAGGAAGGUGGGGACGACGUCAAAUCAUCAUGGCCCUUAUGUCCUGGGCUACACACGUGCUACAAUGGCCGGUACAGAGUGAAGCGAAGCCGCGAGGUGGAGCGAAUCGCAGAAAGCCGGUCUCAGUACAGAUUGAAGUCUGAAACUCGACUUCAUGAAGGUGGAAUCGCUAGUAAUCGCGCAUCAGCAUGGCGCGGUGAAUACGUUCCCGGGCC